AGUGAACGCUGGCGGUAGGCCUAACACAUGCAAGUCGAACGGCAGCACAGUAAGAGCUUGCUCUUACGGGUGGCGAGUGGCGGACGGGUGAGGCAUACAUCGGAAUCUACUUUUUCGUGGGAGAUAACGUAGGGAAACUUACGCUAAUACCGCAUACGACCUACGGGUGAAAGCAGGGGAUCUUCGGACCUUGCGCGAUUGAAUGAGCCGAUGUCGGAUUAGCUAGUUGGCGGGGUAAAGGCCCACCAAGGCGACGAUCCGUAGCUGGUCUGAGAGGAUGAUCAGCCACACUGGAACUGAGACACGGUCCAGACUCCUACGGGAGGCAGCAGUGGGGAAUAUUGGACAAUGGGCGCAAGCCUGAUCCAGCCAUACCGCGUGGGUGAAGAAGGCCUUCGGGUUGUAAAGCCCUUUUGUUGGGAAAGAAAAGCAGCAGGUUAAUACCCCGCUGUUCUGACGGUACCCAAAGAAUAAGCACCGGCUAACUUCGUG
rnacentral:rRNA from 1 species